rnacentral:rRNA from 1 species
GAGUUUGAUCAUGGCUCAGAACGUACGCUGGCGGCACGCCUAACACAUGCAAGUCGAACGAAGUAGCAAUACUUAGUGGCAGACGGGUGAGUAACAUGUAGGUAUCUGCCCUUUGGCCUGGAAUAACACGAGGAAACUUGUGCUAAUACCGGAUAAGUCUUUACGGAGAAAGCUUUAUGCACCAUUGGAUGAGCCUGCACUUGAUUAGUUUGUUGGUGGGGUAAUGGCCUACCAAGACUGUGAUCAAUAGCUGAUUUGAGAGGAUGAUCAGCCACAUUGGGACUGAGACACGGCCCAAACUCCUACGGGAGGCAGCAGUGGGGAAUCUUGCACAAUGGAGGAAACUCUGAUGCAGCGAUGCCGCGUGAGUGAAGAAGGCCUUUGGGUUGUAAAGCUCUUUCGUCGGGGAAGAAAAUGACUGUACCCGAAUAAGAAGGUCCGGCUAACUUCGUGCCAGCAGCCGCGGUAAUACGAAGGGACCUAGCGUAGUUCGGAAUUACUGGGCUUAAAGAGUUCGUAGGUGGUUGAAAAAGUUAGUGGUGAAAUCCCAGAGCUUAACUCUGGAACUGCCAUUAAAACUUUUCAGCUAGAGUAUGAUAGAGGAAAGCAGAAUUUCUAGUGUAGAGGUGAAAUUCGUAGAUAUUAGAAAGAAUACCAAUUGCGAAGGCAGCUUUCUGGAUCAUUACUGACACUGAGGAACGAAAGCAUGGGUAGCGAAGAGGAUUAGAUACCCUCGUAGUCCAUGCCGUAAACGAUGUGUGUUAGACGUUGGAAAUUUAUUUUCAGUGUCGCAGGGAAAACCGAUAAACACACCGCCUGGGGAGUACGACCGCAAGGUUAAAACUCAAAUGAAUUGACGGGGACCCGCACAAGUAGUGGAGCAUGUGGUUUAAUUCGAAGAUACGCGCAGAACCUUACCAACACUUGACAUGUUCGUCGCGACUCUAAGAGAUUAGAGUUUUCGGUUCGGCCGGACGAAACACAGGUGCUGCAUGGCUGUCGUCAGCUCGUGUCGUGAGAUGUUGGGUUAAGUCCCGCAACGAGCGCAACCCUCACUUUUAGUUGCCAUCAUUAAGUUGGGCACUCUGAAAGAACUGCCAGUGAUAAGCUGGAGGAAGGUGGGGAUGACGUCAAGUCCUCAUGGCCCUUACGUGUUGGGCUACACACGUGCUACAAUGGUAUCUACAACAGGAAGCAAGACUGCGAAGUUAAGCAAAUCCCUAAAAGAUACCUCAGUUCGGAUUGCACUCUGCAACUCGAGUGCAUGAAGCUGGAAUUACUAGUAAUCGUGGAUCAGCGUGCCACGGUGAAUGCGUUCCCGGGUCUUGUACACACCGCCCGUCACACCAUGGGAGUUGGUUCUACCUUAAGGCAAGGUUUUAAACCCUUGACCACGGUAUAGUCAGCGACUGGGGUGAAGUCGUAACAAGGUAACC